GCGGCAUGGCCCUGCUUCGGCUCCUAUGUGCUCCAGUGGCCUCCUCCAGUGCUCUAAUGGGACCUGCAGAGGCGGUGCCUGCAGUUGGGGCAGUAUGCAGAGAUGCCUGGCUGUGCCUCCACGUAGGAGCCGGAGAAGGGACAUGCUACUGCUUCCGGGAGCUGCUUGAGAGCAAGGAUAACAAUGGA